GCCCUUAUAGCUCAGUGGUAGAGCGCAGCACUUGUAUCCAACAACUGAAAUGCUGAGGUCCGUCGUUCAAUCCGGCGUGGGGGCA